CUGAAAUCAAGCGGGAUUACCCGCUGAACUUAAGCAUAUCAAUAAGCGGAGGAAA
rnacentral:rRNA from 1 species